rnacentral:rRNA from 1 species
CCUACGGGAGGCAGCAGUGGGGAAUAUUGCACAAUGGGGGAAACCCUGAUGCAGCAACGCCGCGUGAGUGAAGGAGUAUUUCGGUAUGUAAAGCUCUAUCAGUAGGGAAGAAGAAAGACGGUACCUGACUAAGAAGCACCGGCUAACUACGUGCCAGCAGCCGCGGUAAUACGCAGGGGGCAAGCGUUAUCCGGAUUUACUGGGUGUAAAGGGAUCGUAGACGGCUGUGCAAGUCUGAAGUGAAAGCCCAGGGCGCAACCCUGGGACUGCUUAUGAAACUGCCGGGCGUGAGUGCAGGAGAGGGAGGCGGAAUUCCUGGUGUAGCGGUGAAAUGCGUAGAUAUUAGGAGGAACACCAGUGGCGAAGGCGGCGUACUGGACUGUAACUGACGUUGAGGCUCGAAAGCGUGGGGAGCAAACAGGAUUAGAUACCCCAGUAGUC